AUCAAAAUAUUAAUGGUAGUAUGAUAAUUGUGGAUGGCUGAAUGACAUCUCUCUUUCAAUCUAAUUUUCAGAUUUGUUUUCUCUCUCCUAUUUUCUCCCUCCUCCUCCCGCCUCAUUUUCCGCCAUUAUUGCAGUGAAGUUUUCCUCAUCCUUCAACUUCUUCUUCCAUUAUUGAUCGGCUUUCCCUUUAUUUUCUCAAUUUGUCCAGCAAAUUACCUUCUAGGUAUUAUUUUUCGAUUGUUGAUUAUUAUAUUUUUCGAUUCUGAUUGUUGAUUGUUUUAUUAGGGUUCAAUCGAUUAUUUUUGUUGUUUUACAUGUUCGAUUGUUGCUCUAGUUUUUCUCUUUCCUCUCCCAAAUUUGGCGAUUCAAUCUUACUCUGGCUUCUCGAAUUUGUGUGUUUUAUUCUAUGUUGAAGAGAAAUGAAUGAAAUUCUGUCUCACUUUGCCUCUUCAAUAGGCUAGGUAAUUUCUUACCUUGCAAUGUUUUAAGUUGCUUCAAAUUUAGUUUUGCAAUUGGUAUAUAAUCUUCAAUUUGUAGAAUGAAUUCAGUUAAUUUUUGGAUUAUCCCUUUGGUAUGACUGAUUUUUCUGGACAAAUUUUCUGACUUAAACAAUUAAACUCAAGUGUUUAGAAGGUAUUGGCUUAGUUUUGUUUAAUGUUAGUUCAUUCUAAGAAAUCACUUUGCUCCAUUUCGAUAGAAAUUUGGAGUUUCUCUUGCGAUCCUUCCGUCUGUAAGAAGUAAUAGCUCAAUUCAGGCCUUUAGUUCUUGUUUCUCUUUCUCAUAUUAGGCUAUUAAUCUCUAUUCUCAAGUAACCUGAAAAAAUGCCUAUUACUCAGUACUCUCUCAAGGAAUCUGUCUGCAGUGGCGGUUGUCUUUACUUGUGUUCUUGUUAUGGUUUUAGAGCUAUGAAAACCUUCGUUGGUAAUGUAACCUAUGUUAAUGUUAUAGUUUUAGGGUGAUGACAAAUCUGCAGUGAAAUUUUCCUAUUGGAUAAACUAAAACAUAACAUGUAUUACCAUGUUGGUGAUAUCAGAUGCCUAUUGAUUUCACCUUGUUUUUCCAUUAUAAUAUUUCAAAAAAAAUCAAUUUUGCUGCGAUGUUCGUCUGCAUCAUCCCACCGCAGCUUCUGAGUUCUGAUGUUGCUUCAUAAUGUUGCUUCAGUAUCUAUACUAGAGCAGUCACAAUCAAAAGUUACUAAUAGUGAGGAUGAUCUUGACUAUUGAGGAUGACUUCAUGGUAGAGGACGACUACCAUGAAAUUGAUUGUUGAAAUUAGGAUUUAGAUUUUUUAUAUGCAAGCUCUAUUCGUUUUUGCAGUGUAGAGAUGCUCGUCAUUGUGUAUUGACUGGUUGAUCCUUGGUCAUUCAGAGAGAAUACCCUAUCAAAUGAGACAGAUGAUUUUGUUGCAGACAAGGUUGAGUAUGAAUUAACCCAAGGCCUGGAAGUGAUUGCUUGCGUAGGUGAAACUUUUUAGCAGCGUGAAGGAUGGACUACAGUGGAAAGUAGUUUGUAAUUUGCUUUGUGUUGGUUGUUUCUUUUUCUUUUUAAUUAUGUUUUGGCUUUUGUGGGAUUCAACAGUGGCUGGGCUUCAAACUAGAUUUAGUUGUUCAGGGGUUUUGGCCUUGCAGGGAUAGUGUAGCAGAUCUUAUCGGGUUAAGUGUAUGCAUUGCGGUGACGAGACUAUUUAUUGGAGUUUACUUGUGUA